AGGAACUCACCCAGAGGCCCAGGUCUCUCACUUCCUCCCCCACUCAGGAAGGGGAAGCGCAGGUGGGGGGUGGGAGUCUGGGCACACUGGAGAGGCGGGGAGGGAGGAGCCCAGUGGGAAGAGGUUCGCUGGGCAUCCUGCCUAGGGCCUUGGCUAGGGCUUUAGGCGGUGGGGGAGCUGCCUGCCUGCUGGGCAAAUGUCUUCCAAGGGAGGGGUGAGACAGGCGAGGGCGUCGGGGAGGGAGCAGUAGCCGAGCGCAGAGCGAGCGGAGGUAAGGGCCAGGUCAGGUCUGCCACCGCUGAGCUCUGGCAGCUGGCGGCCCCUAACAUCUCCUGAGCUCUGGCAGCUGGGGGCCCCUAACAUCUCCGAGCGGUUCCCAGGUUGGUGAUCACUGGGCUGGAGUGAGGCCUGAGAGCUCAGGCAUGGCAGGCGGCCUAGCAGGGGAGCCAUGGGGCUGGGCGGUCCGUUAUCGCUGGCUUGCAGCUUGCGGUUUGUGGGAGGAUGCCGUGGGCAUGUUUGAUAUUUGUGACCAGCAGGAAUUGGGGCCCCUGGCUGGGAAAGAGAGCUACAGUCAAGCCCAGAAGGCAGCCAGGACUUGCUCAAGGCCCUCAGUGACCCCAGGAGCCCUGGGGCCACUUGAGCCUGGGGUUUAGGGCUCUCAGGCUGGGGCUCCUUCAAUGCUGUGUCCUCUUGAGCAAAGGGAGAACGCGCCAUGAAGCCAGCGCCAGGCUGGGCCAGUGGCCUCUCGCAGGCCAGACCCACAGUGAGGCCAGAGUUCCUGUGGGGGCUCUUCCCCCUGCUGGGGGUCUGAAGGAGGGAGUAGAAGCCACAUUGGUGGGAAGGUGGGCCCCAGACCCGGGAGUGACAAGCCAGCAGCAGACUUGGCCUGGGGCUGGGACCUUCAGCACAAGCCGGGGCAACGGACAAGACCGGAUGGCUUGGAAGGGCCCUGAGAUGGUGGGCUCGCGGUAGAGGGCCCCGGCUGAGGCAGCAGCAGGGUCAGAGCAGGAGCCCCUCGGGGUCUGGCCCUGGCCUCCAGGACUGGCCCAGGACCAGGGGCGUUUGGGGACAGAGAGAAGCACGUGCAGGGGGAGAGGAGCCGGAGGGCGGCUCUGGAGCUUGUACGUGGGCCAGUGAGGAGGAAGCUUUACCUGCCUGUCGCCAGCCUCCUGGCCUGAAAUGCACACCCAGGGUCACAGGGCUGUGGGAUCCCUGAUGACAAGCUCACCUAACCCCCCUCGUCUGGAAGCAGAGGGCUGUCGUCCCCAUGUGUGACUGCAGGCUGGGAUCGGGGGAGGCCAGGACCUGCCAGGUGGCAGGCCACGUGCCUGCCCCCCUUACCCCAGACUCGGCUCAGACACCACCUGGAGCUGGAGCUGGAGCUGGAGCUGGAGCUGGAGCUGGAGCCGGCCAGGGGAGCUGGUUUCUGGUCUGAAGCGGGACAGUGUGACCUCCCGUCAAGGUGAAGGACACCCCCAGAACAGGACCACAUCUGACUCUGUGUUCUGGCCGCACGACUGUGCUAUUUUGUCUGUACAAACCUACCCUACGGGAGGUAGUGUUAGGAUCCCCGCUUACGCGGACUUCCCAUCUUUGCUCCCCCUUGCAGCAGGCGCAGGACCUCAGGUAAGUGCCUCAGUCUUCUCACCUGUAAAAUGGGGCAAACGUACCCACCUCACAGGGUUGUCCGUUAACACGACCUAAUGCCUGGAAGUAUGUCCACUGUUCCUGUUACUAGCAGACACGUGGACAUCCAAGUGUUAGGUGGUGAGUCACUGCCAGUCACUGCUAGUUCAGUCAAGUGAGGCAAUGGUUCCCAGCGAUCCUCUUUCCCCACACCAGUGACGCAAGGCCAGUGGCGGGCUCUCAAGCAGGAGCGCCUUUCGUGGCCUCCAGGCUCGCAACAGUGCCCCACCUGUGAUGCCACCCCGCCACCGGCUGCUUUCCAGAGAAACCCGGGGCUGGGCCCUCCCUUCCGCUCCCGGACGGCUGUGCAGACACAGCCCCCGGGCGGCCUGAUGACAGCAGUGGCUGGACCCUCUCAUUUAGAGAGAGGGCUUUAGGGGCGUCUGGGUGGCUCAGCGCUGAGCAUCCGGCUCAGGUCACGAUCUCAGGGUGUGACACGGAGCCCCACGUCGGGCUUUGUGCUCGGAGGGGAGUCUGCUGGAGAUUCUGUCCCUCUGCUUUUCCCAAGAUAAAGAAAUAAAGUCUUUUAAAAAAAAAAAAAAGAGGGCUUUAUACCCCUUUGGUUGAGAAGCACUUACCUGUGAAGUCACAAUUCCUGGGGACAGAGCCCAGUCUCCAGGUGACCAUGUGCACAGAGCAAUGGUCUAGCCCCGGACCCGCACCCUGUUCACACCAGCAGGCUGACCACGGUCAAAGGUGGCCACAGGGCACACCUCCCGUGGAUGACCUAUCGCACCGGAACGGAGGACCACCUUGCCGUCCGAACACCCUCCAGACCUGCCUCAGGUACUUGCGGGAGGGGAGCCCCCCGUCCAACUGGGCACAGCCGCCGUACCCAGAAGACUAGGCCACACCUAGUCAGUGAUUUAACAAACGGAGUUGGGGUAGCUGGACUCCUAGCCGGUAAAAAGGGAGGCGGAAUCCUUAAGCCUCACGCCGUGUAUAGAAUACACAUGCUUCAAAGACCACCUCGACAGGGGCAUCUGGCUGCUCAGUCUGAGGAGCAGGGGACUCCAGAUCUCAGGGCCGUGAGUUCGAGGCCCGCACUGGUGUAGAGAUUACUUAAAAAAAAAAGAAAUCAACUCUACAUAAAGUAUACGGGUUCUAGAAAAACAAGAAGUAUAGCUUUAUAUUCUUUUAAAGCGAAGAAAGCAUUUAAAAACAUGCCCACACAUCCCAGAAAGCAUUAAAAAAAAAAAAAAAA